UUAGUACGAAUUAGCCACUUUUUAAUCAUUCGUCGAAUUCGUACGAAUUGGUCGUGAGAUAGCGUAGGACAGCUAUAAUUUAAAUGCGUUGUGCAAAAAUAAUUUAGCAAUUAAAAAAUGCAUAAAUAAGACAAUGUACUACUUAUCUUUAACAAUAUAGCUACCAAAGAGAUUGUAAAAUGCUUUAGUUCAUCGGAUCCUGCCUAAUCAUUCCCUGGUAUUUUGUUUUCAUACACUAGAGGGCGCUGUGAGCCACUGGAUUCAGUAGCAGCGCUGAUUCUCACAGCUCUCGCCGGGUGCAGUGGCGCGCGCCUGUAGUCCAAGCUACUGGGAGGCUGAGGCUGGUGGAUUGCUUGAGCUCAGGGGUUCUGGACUGCAGUGGACUAUGUCGAUUGGGUGUCCGCGCUAAGUUCGGUAUCGAUAUGGUGUUCCUGGGGGAGCCCGGGACCACCAGGUCGCCUAAGGAGGGGUGAACCGGCCCAGGUCGGAGACGAAGCAGGUCAAAGUCCCCGUGUCGAUCAGUAGUGGGAUCGUGCCUGGGAAUAGACACUGCAGUGCUGCCUGAGCGAUACAAGGGCGCUGUGAGCCACUGGAUUCAGGAGCAGCGCUGAUUCUCACAGCUCUCGCCGGGUGCAGUGGCGCGUGCCUGUAGUCCAAGCUACUGGGAGGCUGAGGCUGAUGGAUUGCUUGAGCUCAGGGGUUCUGGACUGCAAUGGACUAUGUCGAUCGGGUGUCCGUGCUAAGUUCGGUAUCGAUAUGGUGCUUCUGGGGGAGCCCGGGACCACCAGGUCGCCUAAGGAGGGGUGAACCGGCCCAGGUCGGAGACGAAGCAGGUCAAAGUCCCCGUGUCGAUCAGUAGUGGGAUCGCGCCUGUGAAUAGACUCUGCAGUGCAGCCUGAGCGAUACAGCGAGACUCGGUCUUUUGUGUGAACAGUUAUUCCGUGGAAUCUAAUAAACAGCAGCAACAACAAAUGAACACAAAAUAAAGCCACUAAUGGCCAAAUAAAACUUUCCAAUCCAGUCUUCAUUUAUCAUAAUAAAAGGGCGCUGUGAGCCACUGGAUUCAGGAGCAGCGCUGAUUCUCACAGCUCUCGCCGGGUGCAGUGGCGCGUGCCUGUAGUCCAAGCUACUGGGAGGCUGAGGCUGGUGGAUCUCUUGAGCUCAGGGGUUCUGGACUGCAGUGGACUAUGUCGAUUGGGUGUCCGCGCUAAGUUCGGUAUCGAUAUGGUGUUCCUGGGGGAGCCCGGGACCACCAGGUCGCCUAAGGAGGGGUGAACCGGCCCAGGUCGGAGACGAAGCAGGUCAAAGUCCCCGUGUCGAUCAGUAGUGGGAUCGUGCCUGGGAAUAGACACUGCAGUGCUGCCUGAGCGAUACAAGGGCGCUGUGAGCCACUGGAUUCAGGAGCAGCGCUGAUUCUCACAGCUCUCGCCGGGUGCAGUGGCGCGUGCCUGUAGUCCAAGCUACUGGGAGGCUGAGGCUGGUGGAUCUCUUGAGCUCAGGGGUUCUGGACUGCAGUGGACUAUGUCGAUUGGGUGUCCGCGCUAAGUUCGGUAUCGAUAUGGUGUUCCUGGGGGAGCCCGGGACCACCAGGUCGCCUAAGGAGGGGUGAACCGGCCCAGGUCGGAGACGAAGCAGGUCAAAGUCCCCGUGUCGAUCAGUAGUGGGAUCGUGCCUGGGAAUAGACACUGCAGUGCUGCCUGAGCGAUACAAGGGCGCUGUGAGCCACUGGAUUCAGGAGCAGCGCUGAUUCUCACAGCUCUCGCCGGGUGCAGUGGCGCGUGCCUGUAGUCCAAGCUACUGGGAGGCUGAGGCUGGUGGAUCUCUUGAGCUCAGGGGUUCUGGACUGCAGUGGACUAUGUCGAUUGGGUGUCCGCGCUAAGUUCGGUAUCGAUAUGGUGUUCCUGGGGGAGCCCGGGACCACCAGGUCGCCUAAGGAGGGGUGAACCGGCCCAGGUCGGAGACGAAGCAGGUCAAAGUCCCCGUGUCGAUCAGUAGUGGGAUCGUGCCUGGGAAUAGACACUGCAGUGCUGCCUGAGCGAUACAAGGGCGCUGUGAGCCACUGGAUUCAGUAGCAGCACUGAUUCUCACAGCUCUCGCCGGGUGCAGUGGCGCGCGCCUGUAGUCCAAGCUACUGGGAGGCUGAGGCUGGUGGAUUGCUUGAGCUCAGGGGUUCUGGACUGCAGUGGACUAUGUCGAUCGGGUGUCCGUGCUAAGUUCGGUAUCGAUAUGGUGCUUCUGGGGGAGCCCGGGACCACCAGGUCGCCUAAGGAGGGGUGAACCGGCCCAGGUCGGAGACGAAGCAGGUCAAAGUCCCCGUGUCGAUCAGUAGUGGGAUCGCGCCUGUGAAUAGACUCUGCAGUGCAGCCUGAGCGAUACAGCGAGACUCGGUCUUUUGUGUGAACAGUUAUUCCGUGGAAUCUAAUAAACAGCAGCAACAACAAAUGAACACAAAAUAAAGCCACUAAUGGCCAAAUAAAACUUUCCAAUCCAGUCUUCAUUUAUCAUAAUAAAAGGGCGCUGUGAGCCACUGGAUUCAGGAGCAGCGCUGAUUCUCACAGCUCUCGCCGGGUGCAGUGGCGCGUGCCUGUAGUCCAAGCUACUGGGAGGCUGAGGCUGGUGGAUCUCUUGAGCUCAGGGGUUCUGGACUGCAGUGGACUAUGUCGAUUGGGUGUCCGCGCUAAGUUCGGUAUCGAUAUGGUGUUCCUGGGGGAGCCCGGGACCACCAGGUCGCCUAAGGAGGGGUGAACCGGCCCAGGUCGGAGACGAAGCAGGUCAAAGUCCCCGUGUCGAUCAGUAGUGGGAUCGUGCCUGGGAAUAGACACUGCAGUGCUGCCUGAGCGAUACAAGGGCGCUGUGAGCCACUGGAUUCAGUAGCAGCGCUGAUUCUCACAGCUCUCGCCGGGUGCAGUGGCGCGCGCCUGUAGUCCAAGAGACUGGGAGGCUGAGG